UGCGCAACUGACCGACGGUGCGGGCGCGCUCGCCUUGCAGGCGCGCGAGCGGCAGCCCGCUCUCGGCAUGCGCGCGUUCGAGCAGCGAGUCGCCCAG
rnacentral:tRNA from 1 species